GACGCUGUAGCUUAGUGGCAAAGCGCCGCUCUCAUGAGGCGGAGAUCGGGAGUUCAAUCCUCCCCAGCGUCA
rnacentral:tRNA from 1 species